UACGAAGGGGGCUAGCGUUGCUCGGAAUCACUGGGCGUAAAGCGCACGUAGGCGGACUCUUAAGUCGGUGGUGAAAUCCUGGAGCUCAACUCCAGAACUGCCUCCGAUACUGGGAGCCUUCGAGUCCGGGAGAGGUGAGUGGAACUGCGAGUGUAGAGGUGAAAUUCGUAGAUAUUCGCAAGAACGCCAGUGGCGAAGGCGGCUCACUGGCCCGGUACUGACGCUGAGGUGCGAAAGCGUGGGGAGCGAACAGG
rnacentral:rRNA from 1 species